GACGAACGCUGGCGGCGUGCCUAAUACAUGCAAGUCGAACGCAUUUUCUUUCACCGUAGCUUGCUACACCGAAAGAAAAUGAGUGGCGAACGGGUGAGUAACACGUGGGUAACCUGCCCAUCAGCGGGGGAUAACACUUGGAAACAGGUGCUAAUACCGCAUAAUUCCAUUUACCGCAUGGUAAAUGGAUGAAAGGCGCUUUUGCGUCCCGGAUGGAUGGACCCGCGGUGCAUUAGCUAGUUGGUGGGGUAAGGGCCUACCAAGGCGGCGAUGCAUAGCCGACCUGAGAGGGUGAUCGGCCACACUGGGACUGAGACACGGCCCAGACUCCUACGGGAGGCAGCAGUAGGGAAUCUUCGGCAAUGGACGCAAGUCUGACCGAGCAACGCCGCGUGAUUGAAGAAGGUUUUCGGAUCGUAAAACUCUGUUGUUAGAGAAGAACAAGGAUGAGAGUGGAAAGUUCAUCCCUUGACGGUAUCUAACCAGAAAGCCACGGCUAACUACGUG
rnacentral:rRNA from 1 species